rnacentral:lncRNA from 1 species
UGGGACUUCAUUUUUUCACCAUUUGCAGCAGCUGAUGGCAAUAAAAAUUGCAGAAUGCAUCAUCUGCAAGUGUUUUAUAGAGCUGAGAUGCUCAAGAGUUAGCCACCAGCCACAAGUGACUAUUGAAUACUUGGGAUGGGGCUAGUGUAACAAAGCAAGCCUUUUACAUCGUUUGCACCAUCCUCUCUCCUCAGCCUCCCAAAUCAUUGAGAUUACAGAUGUGAAGUACUGUGCCUGGCUCAAGAAACUUUGUCUUAAAGGGCAUAGAAAGGAGGGAAUGCUAGAGUGAUAACUGAUGGUAGAAAUGACAGCUGGGGUGAAGUUGACUAUAAACUCAUUGAACCGUGCCAUUUCAGUACAGAGACGGGAACCAGUGUAAAGGACUGAUUACACAGAUGGAGAAUAUCAAGAUACAGACAACUACACAUGUCUUUCAAGAACAGUUUGCUGGGUGUUGACCAACAUCAAACUGCUUAUCCAGGAACCACUAGAAGUGAAUCUCUUCUUGAGUAUUCCAUACUGCUGCCCCUGCUAUUCACUUGGGGUCCCAGUCAGUUGUUACUAUAUAUUUGUCAUCUAUUGUGAGAGUCGUGAUAUCACCUUCCACAUCAGUGAUACUGAGAAGGAACAAAUCUGCCAAAGAUGCUUCACAGUUAGUUGUUACCUUUUUAAGAAGACUGUGCUUGAAAAUUAUGGUAAAACACAUUUAGAAGAAGGAUGUGCAUUUUCACAUCAGUCUAUGAAGUAUAACUUGACAUUUAAAUUAAAAUGCUGUUCUUCAAAAUUAAUUUUUCCUGUUUUAAUUCCAAGUUUUCUUGUACAGGGGAGAAGAGGUAAGGGGUAGCUCUAAUGUGUUGGCUUCAUUCACAGAAGAAACAUUUUUAUAAACAGUUAAGUGAUGCCAGCUUUCUGUUGAUGCCAUCAGAUCUUGCAAGCAAAAAAUAAGUUAAUUUCAAUAUCAGUUGAUAUUAUUUCAUUCAACCUAUGUAAUAAAGACUCUGUCUCCAUUUUUGAUGUCUGAUUACUGCUGGCUUUUAAGUUUCAGCCCUCCCAUUUCCUCUCUUGCUCCACAUGUAGGCAAAGG